GAAGAGAAAGAAAGGACUGGCUGGGUUGUAGGCAGCAGGGCCAAUCAGCUGAGGGCUAAGUGCACAGCAGGUCCUAGCAAAUGCUUCUGGAAUUGAAUUGGUCCAAGGGGAGACUCCAACUUUAGUUCAACAUGGGCUGUAUCCGAAUCCUUCUGACAUUUGCUGGGAUUCCAUGAGGGAGUCAGGUACACCAAACCGCUCACCUUUGCUGACUGCAUUAGUGAUGAGUUGCCGCUAGGAUGGGAAGAGGCAUAUGACCCACAGGUUGGAGAUUACUUCAUAGACCACAACACCAAAACCACUCAGAUUGAGGAUCCUCGAGUACAAUGGCGGCGGGAGCAGGAACAUAUGCUGAAGGAUUACCUGGUGGUGGCCCAGGAGGCUCUGAGUGCACAAAAGGAGAUCUACCAGGUGAAGCAGCAGCGCCUGGAGCUUGCGCAGCAGGAGUACCAGCAACUGCAUGCCGUCUGGGAGCACAAGCUGGGCUCCCAGGUCAGCUUGGUCUCUGGUUCAUCAUCCAGCUCUAAGUAUGACCCUGAGAUCCUGAAAGCUGAAAUUGCCA
rnacentral:sRNA from 1 species